UGACCGCUGGCGGCGUGCCUAAUACAUGCAAGUCGAGCGACCAGACGAGGAGCUUGCUCCUCUGACGUUAGCGGCGGACGGGUGAGUAACACGUGGAUAACCUACCUAUAAGACUGGGAUAACUUCGGGAAACCGGAGCUAAUACCGGAUAAUAUAUUGAACCGCAUGGUUCAAUAGUGAAAGACGGUUUUGCUGUCACUUAUAGAUGGAUCCGCGCCGCAUUAGCUAGUUGGUAAGGUAACGGCUUACCAAGGCGACGAUGCGUAGCCGACCUGAGAGGGUGAUCGGCCACACUGGAACUGAGACACGGUCCAGACUCCUACGGGAGGCAGCAGUAGGGAAUCUUCCGCAAUGGGCGAAAGCUUGACGGAGCAACGCCGCGUGAGUGAUGAAGGUCUUCGGAUCGUAAAACUCUGUUAUUAGGGAAGAACAAAUGUGUAAGUAACUAUGCACGUCUUGACGGUACCUAAUCAGAAAGCCACGGCUAACUACGUG
rnacentral:rRNA from 1 species